rnacentral:rRNA from 1 species
CCUACGGGUGGCUGCAGUGGGGAAUCUUAGACAAUGGGCGCAAGCCUGAUCUAGCCAUGCCGCGUGAGCGAUGAAGGCCUUAGGGUUGUAAAGCUCUUUCAGUGGGGAAGAUAAUGACUGUACCCACAGAAGAAGCCCCGGCUAACUCCGUGCCAGCAGCCGCGGUAAUACGGAGGGGGCUAGCGUUGUUCGGAAUUACUGGGCGUAAAGCGCACGUAGGCGGAUGGACAAGUCAGAGGUGAAAUCCCAGGGCUCAACCUUGGAACUGCCUUUGAAACUUUCCAUCUUGAGGUCGAGAGAGGUGAGUGGAAUUCCGAGUGUAGAGGUGAAAUUCGUAGAUAUUCGGAGGAACACCAGUGGCGAAGGCGGCUCACUGGCUCGAUACUGACGCUGAGGUGCGAAAGCGUGGGGAGCAAACAGGAUUAGAUACCCGUGUAGUC